rnacentral:tRNA from 1 species
GGCUCGAUGGUCUAGAGGUAUGAUUCUCGCUUUGGGUGACGUAUCCGAUCACGUGAAUGCGAGAGGUCCCGGGUUCGAUCCCCGGUCGAGCCC